AUUGAACGCUGGCGGCACGCUUAACACAUGCAAGUCGAACGGCAGCGGGGGGAGCUUGCUCCCUGCCGGCGAGUGGCGAACGGGUGAGUAACGCGUAGGGAUCUGCCUGUUAGAGGGGGAUAAGCCGGGGAAACUCGGACUAAUACCGCCUACGCUCUGAGGAGGAAAGGACGGGACCUGGAAACAGGCCGUUCGCUAACAGAUGAACAGGCGUUAGAUUAGCUAGUUGGUAGGGUAAAGGCCUACCAAGGCGACGAUCUGUAGCGGGUCUGAGAAGAUGAUCCGCCACACUGGGACUGAGACACGGCCCAGACUCCUACGGGAGGCAGCAGUGGGGAAUAUUGGACAAUGGGGGGAACCCUGAUCCAGCCAUGCCGCGUGUGUGAAGAAGGCCUUUUGGUUGUAAAGCACUUUAAGCGAGGAGGAGGCUACCUGGAUUAAUACUCUAGGAUAGUGGACGUUACUCGCAGAAUAAGCACCGGCUAACUCUGUGCCAGCAGCCGCAGUAACAC
rnacentral:rRNA from 1 species